AUCGCUUCUCGCCUUUUGGCUAAGAUCAAGUGUAGUAUCUGUUUCUUAUCAGUUUAAUAUCUGAUACGUCCCCCAUCCGGGACUACAUAUUAAAUGGAAUUUUUUAGAUCACGGAGCUGGAGCCGGGGGCUUGCUCCGUCCACUCCAUGCAUCGGCCUGGUAUUGCAGUGUCUCCAGGAACGGUGUGCUUUCC
rnacentral:snRNA from 1 species